GCCGGGCAUGGUGGCGCAUGCCUGUAAUCUCAGCUACUCAGGAGGCGGAGGCAGAAGAAUCGCUUGAACCCGGGAGGUGGAGGUUGCAGUGAGCCGAGAUCGCGCCAUUGCACUCCAGCCUGGGCAACAGAAGUGAAACUCUGUCUCUUUUUUUUUUUUUUUUUUUUUUUUGAGACGGAGUCUCGCUGUGUCUCCCAGGCUGGAGUGCAGUGGCCUGAUCUCGGCUCACUGCAAGCUCCGCCUCCCGGGUUCACGCCAUUCUCCCACCUC
rnacentral:SRP_RNA from 1 species